rnacentral:rRNA from 1 species
UACAGAGGGGGCAAGCGUUGUUCGGAAUUACUGGGCGUAAAGGGCGCGUAGGCGGCCUUCUAAGUCAGACGUGAAAUCCCUCGGCUCAACCGGGGAACUGCGUCUGAGACUGGAAGGCUUGAAUCCGGGAGAGGGAUGUGGAAUUCCAGGUGUAGCGGUGAAAUGCGCAGAUAUCAGGAGGAACACCGGUGGCGAAGGCGGAUCUCUGGGCCAUUACUGACGCUGAGGAGCGAAAGCGUGGGGAGCGAACAGG